AUUGAACGCUGGCGGCAUGCCUUACACAUGCAAGUCGAACGGCAGCAUAGGAGCUUGCUCCUGAUGGCGAGUGGCGAACGGGUGAGUAAUAUAUCGGAACGUGCCCUAGAGUGGGGGAUAACUAGUCGAAAGACUAGCUAAUACCGCAUACGAUCUACGGAUGAAAGUGGGGGAUCGCAAGACCUCAUGCUCCUGGAGCGGCCGAUAUCUGAUUAGCUAGUUGGUGGGGUAAAAGCUCACCAAGGCGACGAUCAGUAGCUGGUCUGAGAGGACGACCAGCCACACUGGGACUGAGACACGGCCCAGACUCCUACGGGAGGCAGCAGUGGGGAAUUUUGGACAAUGGGGGCAACCCUGAUCCAGCAAUGCCGCGUGAAUGAAGAAGGCCUUCGGGUUGUAAAGCUCUUUUGUCAGGGAAGAAACGGUUCUGGAUAAUACCUGGGACUCAUGACGGUACCUGAAGAAUAAGCACCGGCUAACUACGUGCCAGCCGCCGCUGUAA
rnacentral:rRNA from 1 species